ACUCCUACGGGAGGCAGCAGUGGGGAAUAUUGCACAAUGGGCGCAAGCCUGAUGCAGCCAUGCCGCGUGUGUGAAGAAGGCCUUCGGGUUGUAAAGCACUUUCAGUCGUGAGGAAGGUAGUGUAGUUAAUAGCUGCAUUAUUUGUACGUUAGCGACAGAAGAAGCACCGGCUAACUCCGUGCCAGCAGCCGCGGUAAUACGGAGGGUGCGAGCGUUAAUCGGAAUUACUGGGCGUAAAGCGCAUGCAGGUUGGUUUGUUAAGUCAGAUGUGAAAGCCCGGGGCUCAACCUCGGAAUAGCAUUUGAAACUGGCAGACUAGAGUACUGGUAGAGGGGGUUAGAAUUUCGAGGUGUAGCGGUGAAAUGCGUAGAGAUCGUGAAGGAUACCGGUGGCGAAGGCGGCCCCUGGACAGAUACUGACACUCAGAUGCGAAAGCGUGGGAGCAAACAGG
rnacentral:rRNA from 1 species